rnacentral:rRNA from 1 species
UACGUAGGGAGCAAGCGUUGUUCGGAAUUACUGGGCGUAAAGGGUUCGUAGGUGGCCUGCUAAGUCAGACGUGAAAUCCCUCAGCUUAACUGGGGAACUGCGUCUGAGACUGGUGGGCUUGAGUGCAGGAGAGGAACGCGGAAUUCCAGGUGUAGCGGUGAAAUGCGUAGAUAUCUGGAGGAACACCGGUGGCGAAGGCGGCGUUCUGGACUGCUACUGACACUGAGGAACGAAAGCCAGGGGAGCAAACAGG